GCCUGGCUGGCUCUGUGGGUAGAGCAUGUGACUUGUGAUCUUGAUCUCAUGGUCAUGAGUUCAAACCCCAUGUUGGGUG
rnacentral:tRNA from 1 species